rnacentral:lncRNA from 1 species
AAAAGUCAAUGCGACUAUUAUUAUAGACCUCAAAAGAAGGAAGAAAAUCGAGAAAGUGCAUGAAUAAAUUCCACAUCAUUGAAUUAGAUGAAUUAGAUUAAACCAACGAUCAAAUUUAUAAGAUUUAAUGGGGAAAAGUUUAAAAUCUAACUCUGGAAGCUGAGUCAUUCACUCUGAAGUGCUUAUUCCUACUGUCCCAAUGGGAGUCCCCUAUGUUAACUGGCAGCUUCGUUACAAGUUACAAUUUGAUACACGACACUUCUUGCCAAGAGAUAGUUUAUGCAAACAAUUGGUUAGUAACAACAGAAGUUCAGACUAAAUGUUAA